UACGUAGGGUGCGAGCGUUGUCCGGAAUUAUUGGGCGUAAAGAGCUCGUAGGCGGUCUGUCGCGUCUGCUGUGAAAUCCCGAGGCUCAACCUCGGGCCUGCAGUGGGUACGGGCAGACUAGAGUGCGGUAGGGGAGAUUGGAAUUCCUGGUGUAGCGGUGGAAUGCGCAGAUAUCAGGAGGAACACCGAUGGCGAAGGCAGAUCUCUGGGCCGUAACUGACGCUGAGGAGCGAAAAGCAUGGGGAGCGAACAGG
rnacentral:rRNA from 1 species